rnacentral:pre_miRNA from 1 species
AAUUUACUCCCUUCGUUCGGAAUUACUUGUCGCAGAAAUGGAUGUAUCUAGACGUAUUUUAGUUCUAGAUACAUCCAUUUCUGAGACAAGUAAUUCCGAACGGAGGGAGUACAUG